rnacentral:rRNA from 1 species
UGAGGAAUAUUGGUCAAUGGCCGAGAGGCUGAACCAGCCAAGUCGCGUGAGGGAUGACGGCCCUACGGGUUGUAAACCUCUUUUGCCGGGGAGCAAAGAGCGGGACGCGUCCCGCCUCGAGGGUACCCGGAGAAAAAGCAUCGGCUAACUCCGUGCCAGCAGCCGCGGUAAUACGGAGGAUGCGAGCGUUAUCCGGAUUUAUUGGGUUUAAAGGGUGCGCAGGCGGAAGCGCAAGUCAGCGGUAAAAUUGAGAGGCUCAACCUCUUCCCGCCGUUGAAACUGCGUUUCUUGAGUGGGCGAGAA